rnacentral:tRNA from 1 species
GUCCCUGUAGCGCAAUGGAUAGCGCGUUGGACUUCUAAUCCAAAGGUCAUGGGUUUGAAUUCCUCCUGGGAUG